GGCGGUUGGAGGCUUAGGGACUUUUAAGGUUUUCUUUUUUGUUUUGUUUAAUUUAGGAUUUAGGCUAUUGGGCUUCGAGUGUCUGGGCUUUUAGGGUUAGGUUAGUAGAUGAAUUUGGGCCAUUGGGUUUGUAAAUGGAGGGACCAAAAGGGCAAAUAACCCAAACCUAGUACACAUCAUUCUCGAAGGGAAUUUUGCUAACUGUUGAUUUCAUGAC
rnacentral:lncRNA from 1 species